rnacentral:rRNA from 1 species
UACGUAGGGUGCGCGCGUUAAUCGGAAUUACUGGGCGUAAAGCGUGCGCAGGCGGUUUUGCAAGCCGGAUGUGAAAUCCCCGGGCUCAACCUGGGAAUGGCAUUCGGGACUGCAAGGCUGGAGUGCGGCAGAGGAGACUGGAAUUCCUGGUGUAGCAGUGAAAUGCGUAGAUAUCAGGAGGAACACCGAUGGCGAAGGCAGGUCUCUGGGCUGACACUGACGCUCAUGCACGAAAGCGUGGGGAGCAAACGGG